rnacentral:rRNA from 1 species
GACGAACGCUGGCGGCGUGCUUAACACAUGCAAGUCGAGCGGUAAGGCCCUUUCGGGGGUACGACGAGCGGCGAACGGGUGAGUAACACGUGGGUGACCUGCCCUCAGCUCUGGGAUAAGCCUGGGAAACCGGGUCUAAUACUGGAUAUGACUCCAUGACGCAUGUUGGUGGGGUGGAAAGCCUUGUGCGGCUGAGGAUGGGCCCGCGGCCUAUCAGCUUGUUGGGUGGGGUGANGGCCUACCAAGGCGACGACGGGUAGCCGGCCUGAGAGGGCGACCGGCCACACUGGGACUGAGACACGGCCCAGACUCCUACGGGAGGGCAGCAGUGGGGAAUCUUGCGCAAUGGGCGAAAGCCUGACGCAGCGACGCCGCGUGA